rnacentral:snoRNA from 10 species
AAGACUCCUUUCAGGAAUCAUUUCUUUAGUUCCUACUAGAGAGGCUUCUCUUAACAUGUGGAGCGCUGGAAACCACAAAGAGGAGGUGCAGCAUUCAGUUCUAAGUGUGAAGUGGAUUCUUGGUGUUGCUGUGCUGCAACUGCCAUUUGCUAAUGAUGACCUUGCUUUUCUUACUUAGAGUAAGACAGAGAGACAGCAGUCAGCCUAAGCGG